UACGGAGGGGGCUAGCGUUGUUCGGAAUUACUGGGCGUAAAGCGCGCGUAGGCGGACCUGCAAGUCGGGGGUGAAAGCCCGAGGCUCAACCUCGGAACUGCCUUCGAUACUGCGGGUCUCGAGUCCGGGAGAGGUGAGUGGAAUUCCUAGUGUAGAGGUGAAAUGCGUAGAUAUUGGGAGGAACACCAGUGGCGAAGGCGGCUCACUGGACCGGUACUGACGCUGAUGCGCGAAAGCGUGGGGAGCAAACGGG
rnacentral:rRNA from 1 species